AACCCGAUCCCAUCUCGAACUCGGCCGUUAAACGCACCAGCGCCCAUGGUACUGUGUCUCAAGACACGGGAGAGUCGGUCGCCGCCA
rnacentral:rRNA from 2 species